CCUACGGGAGGCAGCAGUGGGGAAUAUUGCACAAUGGGGGAAACCCUGAUGCAGCGACGCCGCGUGAGGGAUGAAGGAUUUCGGUAUGUAAAGCUCUAUCAGCAGGGAAGAAAAUGACGGUACCUGACUAAGAAGACCCGGCUAACGACGUGCCAGCAGCCGCGGUAAUACGUAGGGGGCAAGCGUUAGCCGGAGUUACUGGGUGUAAAGGGAGCGUAGACGGUCCUGCAAGCCAGAUGUGAAAGCCCGGGGCUCAACCCCGGGACUGCCUUUGGAACUGUAAGGCUAGAGUGUCGGAGAGGCCGGCGGACUUCCUGGUGUAGCGGUGAAAUGCGUAGCUAUUAGGCGGAACACCAGUGGCGAAGGCGGCCUUCUGGACGAUGACUGACGUUGAGGCUCGAAAGCGUGGGGAGCAAACAGGAUUAGAUACCCUAGUAGUC
rnacentral:rRNA from 1 species